rnacentral:lncRNA from 1 species
UUUUGGUAUUUUAUAUGUUUCCAUGAAUUUAUCCAUUUCUUCCAGGUUGUCCCUUUUGUUGCCAUGUAGUUUUAUAUAAUAUCCUCUAAUAAUUCUUUGUAUUACUUCUCUCUCAUUUGUGAUUUUACUAAGUCUAGCUAAGAGUUUAUCAAUUUUAUCAAUCUUUUCAAAGACAAGCUACAAGUUUUAUUGAUCUGUUGUGGUUUUUAGUUUCCAUAUAAUUUAUUUCUGCUGUAAUCCUUAUUAUUUCCCUUCUUUGGCUGGCUUUAGGCUUUAUUUGUUAUUCUUUUUGAGCUCCUUUAGGUGUAAGAUGAGGUUGUCUGAUAUUUUUCUUGCUUCUAAUGCAGGCCUGAAGUGCUAUAUACAUCUGUCUUAAGACCAUUUUGCUCCAUCACAAAGAUUUUGGACUGUUGUGAUUUCAUUUUCAUUUGUUUACAUGCAUGUAUUUUUUUUCUUUGAUUUCCUUGUUGACCAAUUCAUUGUUUAGUGGCAUGCUGCCUAAUCUUCAUGCAUUUGUGGUCUUACCAUUUUUUUUCUUGUGUUUCAUUUUGUGUUUCAUAGAAACAUAUGAAACAUGAAAAUAUGUACAGGGGAUACCUGGGUGGUUCAGCGGUUGAAUGUUUGCCUUCAGCUCAGGACACGAUCCUGGGGUCUGGGAUCAAGCCCUCCAUUAGGCUCCUUGUGGGGAACCUGCUUCUCCCUCUGCUAUGUCUCUGCCUCUCUCUCUGUCUGUGUCUCUCAUUAAUAGAUAAAUCUUUUUUAAAAAGAAAAUAUGUAUGGUAUGAUCGCAGUCAUUUUGUUCUGCUGAGAUCUGAUUUGUGAACUAGUAUGUGAUCUAUUCUGGAGAAUGUUCCAUGUUCACUCAAAAAGAAUCUGUAUUCUGCUGCUUUAGAGUGAAAUGUUCUGAAUAUAUAUGGUAAGUCUAUUUGGUAGACAUUCAAAACCAUUGUUUCCUUAUUGAUUUUCUUCACAGAUAUCUGUUCAUUGAUGUAAGUGUGGUGUUUAGGUGCCCUACUAUUAUUGUAUUAUUAUCAGUGAGUUCUGUUAAACUUGUUAUUGUUUUAUUUUUUUAAGGAUUUUAUUUAUUUAUUUAUUUAUCCAUGAGAGACACAGAGAGAGAGGCAGAGACACAGGCAAAGGGAGAGGGAGAAGCAGGUUCCCCCCAGGGAGACUGACAUGGGACCCCAGGAUCACACCCCAAGCAGAAGGCAGAGCCCAACCGUUGAGCCAUCCAGGCAUUCCGUUAUUAAUUGUUUUAUAUAUUUGGGUCCUCCAGUUUGGGAGCAUAAAUAUUUGCAAAUGUUAGAUCUUCUUGUUGAAUAGAUCACUUUAUUAUGAUAUAGUACCUUUCUUCACCUCUUGUUAGAGUCUUUGGAUUAAAAUCUACUCUAUUGAACAUAAGUAUUGCUAUUCUGUCUUUCUUUUGAUGUGUUAUUGCAUGGUAAAUGUUUUUCCACCUCUUU